GGACACAUGUAAACGGCCGCAGAAUUUUAACUGUGCUAAGGUAGCAUAAUCACUUGUCACCUAAUUAGUGACUAGUAUGAACGGCUAAACGAUUCUAUACUGUCUCAUUUAUAUAUAAUAUAAUUUAAUAUUAGUGUAAAAAAGCUCUAAUACAAUAAAAAGACAAAAAGACCCUAUAGAGUUUAAUUUUUAGGGUUAAACUUAACACCAACAAAUUUAGUUGGGGCAACUAAGAAACACAUAAAUUUUCUUAACAAAAUAAAUAUAAGCUAUCAUUUAAUAAAUAAAACAAAAUAAAUUACCUUAGGGAUAACAGCAUAAAUUUCUUUGAGAGCCCAAAUCGAAAAGAAAAAUUAU
rnacentral:rRNA from 1 species